AGAAUGUUUGGGGCAUGAGAUUAGCCAGCAGUGUCAGCCUGAUUCCUCCUUGAGCUGUGGGCUGAGCAUCUUGGUCUCACACCCAACACCUUCUAGGCUCCCAGCCUUGAGAGAAAUGUCUGGGCAAUUCUGAUGAGGAGCCGAGAGGACUCAGAGACCAAAUGAGUGCCCCAGGGUCUCUAUAGGGUUAUCCAACCUGUGCAUAUGACUCUGCUCUGUCCUUGUCAUCACUCCGUGUCUAUCUCUGCAGAAUUCUCAGUGAGCUCUUAACCUAUGGGACCCAUACAUUGAGAAAGGGCAGGAAGAGGAAGCACCUGUAUUGCAGGGAGAAAACUCUUAAAGAUGUAGUAGUGAAGAACAGCUCCAAAGAGGGAAGGAAAGCAAGAGACAGGAAAAAGCCCCAGGGGAGGGAUGGAAGUAUGGUAGGCAGCCUGGAUCCUGAGGUAUGAGGCCCACUCAGUGUCGCCUGGCUAAAGCUUGGGGGUUUCCAGUUUGUUGACAGAUUUUGUAGGAAAAUGGAUGUGAAAGUUCACUACUUUUGUGGUUUUAAGUAGAAGGCAGCAUGGCAGAGCAGGGAAGGGCUUGAUUGCUGGAAGUGAGCUGCUUGGGUUCGCAAUCCUACUUCUGCUUCUGCCUGGUUGAAUGACCUCUAAGAGUAUGCCUUCUUCACUGUGACUCAAUUUCUUCACGUAUAAACUGGGGAUGAUGAUUUUGGGGUGUUACUACUGUUUUUAGCAUUGGCAGACAUGGUCAAGGGGAUUUCCACUUCAAAUCUCAAAGCUAUUCUUCAAUGAUGAACCUUACUAGAAUAAUUUGUUUAGUGUAAACAAAUUAAUGCUUUGUGAUUAGUCAUCUUCUGAAUAGCCCUUCUAGGCAUGGAAAGGCAAACGACUUCAUCUUUCUCUGGAUCUUUCCACUCAUGUAACCUUCUGAGCAAUACCUGACUUAAGCUGCCAGAUUUAGCAGAUAAAAACAUCCAACCAAAUUUGAAUUUCAGGUAGUCAACCAACAUUAUUUAGUAUAAGUAUGUUCUGUACAACAUUUGAGACAGACUUAUACUAAACAAACUACUCAUGGUUUGAUCUUAGAUUCAUAUUUAAUUGGACAUCCUGUAUUUCAUCUGGCAACCUGAUAUCUGACCCCAAACUGCACAAAGCAGGUGAGCCUGGACCUGGGGAGCUAGAAUGCAGGUGUAAUUCCCCGGUGUACACCUCGCUCAGGCAUAGUCUGCAACUGUGCUUUUGCAGGAUCUCUUUUAAAAGCAAGAACAACAACAACAACAAAGAAUAAAACAUGCGAUAUUUGCAGCAAAAGACGUAACAGGAGCUGGUCUCAUGUAAAUAUUACGUUAAUUAAAACAGAUGGGUCUGGAGCAUAAACAAAAUAGCUGCAGGGGGCUGGUUUUUGUUCUUGCUGGGUUUCUUAAUAUAGUAACUCAGUUUCCAUCCUGUUAGCACUCUUUCCUUAUCAAACAUUGAACUGGGGUAUAAGGAAGUUUAAAUUACCAGUGAUUGGAGAUCCGUUUUCUAAACACUUGAAACAGAUGGCUUAUUGCCUGAAAAGCAUGUUGAGUUUGGUUAUUUCAGGAAAAUGUUUUAUUGCAGCUCAUUUAUUAACAUCAGGUUUGCCAUGUGAUGAACAAUUUCCCUUCAGCUCUGUUCCUUGCAUUGAGUUUGGCUACUGAGCAAAGAAAGGUUUCAUUUUUAAUGCUGUCUGCCUGCUUCUUGGACAUUGCAUUGAGCAAAAGCCUAGUUACUCCUGUAUAGCUUCUCACAGUUUCAGAAAAAGAGCAAUAACCAUGCAGAAGAUUUUUACAAAUGAAUGUCAUUUGAGAGCAUACAAUGGAUGAAGUUGGACUCUCUACCAGCUGUGGCAGCAGUGGACUUAACAAAAAGAUAAUGUGCUUUUGGCCAGUUUUUGAGGGGUCUAGGAUCCAAUUCAGGACCACAUACUGCACUUAGUU
rnacentral:lncRNA from 1 species